rnacentral:tRNA from 1 species
GCCCAGGUAGCUCAGUUGGUAGAGCAGAGGAUUGAAAAUCCUCGUGUCGGUGGUUCGAUUCCGCCCCUGGGCA